UACGAAGGGUGCAAGCGUUAAUCGGAAUUACUGGGCGUAAAGCGUGCGUAGGCGGUUUCUUAAGUCCGUUGUGAAAGCCCUGGGCUCAACCUGGGAACUGCGAUGGAUACUGAGGAGCUGGAGUACGGUAGAGGAAGGUGGAAUUCCCGGUGUAGCGGUGAAAUGCGUAGAUAUUGACAGGAACACCAGUGGCGUAAGCGGCUAUCUGGACCGACAUUGACGCUGAGGCACGAAAGCGUGGGGAUCAAACAGG
rnacentral:rRNA from 1 species